CCAAAUUAGUGCAUUGUGGGAUAUCCCAACUACCUCCCACUUGCCGUCAUGGGAGUCAGUCAUCUUGGAAGUUAGUCUUUCAGCCCCAGGUGAGAUACUACUUGAUGACAGUGGAGCAGAGAAGGUCAGCCAAGCUGAACUGUGUCUGAAUUCUCCAUGUUCCACAGUACUUGGUUUAGCUGUUAUGUUUUGUUAUAUAGCAAUGCUAGGGCUCUAAGGUAGAGGUUGAAGUGAAUAUGUUUUUAUUCUUUGUAGAGAUCACAAAAUAUGUGUAUUUCAAGGUUGAAGUUCACCUAAUCCAACCCUCAUGAGUUCACUUUUCUUGUGUUAUAUAAAAAGCACAUUGUGAAUUGCUAACCUGUGUCUUCCAACCCUCUGUCUUCAUUUCCCAAGCUCUGUUUUAGACUUUGCUUGAAGUGCAUACUUAAUUUACAAUUAAAGAUACAAUCAGGGAACGGAUAAAUACAAUUUAGAUUUCCUGUGUUAUAUCAUUUUGAGAUGAGUUUGGCCAAAGGGAAUUCAGACGAUAAUUAGGAUGGCACAAAUUAGUCAGAACUGGCACUAAUUGACCCCCCACUUGUUCUAUCUCAUUUACUGCUCACAAUAACUCAAUUGGGAAGUUACACCUUCCUGAGGAAAUGAUUAAGGCAUUGGAGAGAUUGAGAAAGUCAUUUGAGGUCACAGCCUGCACAAGAGGGAACAUAUCACCCAGGGGUAGAGGAAGUACACGAAGACAUUCAGCCGACACACCAAUCUGAGAGAAGCAAGGGUUUGGAUAUCCAUUGGAUCGCUUCUUCCAAGGUGUCAAUGGAGGCCAAAAGAGAACAUUGGAUCCCUUGGAGCUGGAAUUACAGGUGGCUGUGAACUUUGAACUCGACUGGGGUCCUUUGGAAGAACAGUGCAUGCUCCCAACUACUGAACCAUCUUUUUAGCGCUGAGACCAGGACUUUCUUGAAAGCAACUUCUGCUGGGCAUCAGGCCUCUCUGUCAGUCGAGUGCUGCACCUGUGUGCUUGCCUAUCACCGCCCGUGUCAUUAGGGAGACUGCUUAGCUCAGCUGCAGAAGAAUCCUAGUCCUUAGCACCUUUGGUGUGAAGUCCUGCUGGGCCAAGUGGGUUUCCAAGGAGCUGUUUCUAGCCAAGUCUCCAUAUGCCUGGUGGGUAGGUGUAGAAACCCGAGGAAGGCUUGGCAGGGGAUCUGCAGUGGGAACUGUUACAACCCAAACAAUCACCGUGUACACAGUGCUUCACAUUGUCUCUUGCAUUUACCUGGAAACAGUCACUGGAAACUACAAGACUGUGCAACCCCUAGAAAUGGCUAUGCUACCGAAAAUGCCCGGGACUUGCUGGACAGCUUGCUAUAGUGUCUUCUAGGCAUCUGAAAAGCCACUGAGUAUUUAAAGUGUCACCUCAAGGGAAACAUACCCAGCCAGUCUUUCCACUAGUGAACUGAAACAAAGAUUUUUGGUCAUCUGACUGACCUCCUAGUGCCUUGUUCUGAACUCCACAACUCGGUUUCUUUCUAACGAGUUUUCAGUUCAAGGUCAGAUGCAGUUUGGAAGGAAGCAUUCCUCACAAGCCAGGUGUAAGGACACGUGCUUUGUGAGAGCCUCAGCCUUUGGACUCCAUUCUGGACUUUGACCGCUGUGUGGAGUGCUAGAGAAAUGUGGCCAGGCUGACUCACUACACAGGCUCCCAGACAGUGAGUGGGCAGAACUCGCCUGGAUAGAACCUGGCAAGCUUGGACUUGACCACUGACUGACUCUGCAGUAGCAGAGAAGGCAGCGACAGUAACCACAGGAGCCCCCACCCUAGAUCUUCAGGGGCAGCAUCUCUCUACUUUCUUCUGCUGUGGGUCACCUCUGAUGCCUGCCAAGCUUUCUCACUAUCCUCAAGAGCCCAGACUGUUGGGCCUCAUCCACAGUAGAUGCUGGAAUCAUUGAUGCCCAGGGUGGCUGUGUCAGUUUUUCCCUGGUUCUGUAAUGUCUAUCCCUGGUCACUCUGGGCAGCCAGGUGGGCAAUGAGUGGCCAAGUGUAGGAGAGAGGACACAGGAGGCCAAAAAAGAAAUGGGUGCAUGAACCUGGGUCUGAGGGCUUAGCUGAUGAACACUGAACUUCUGGGAUUUAAGCAUUCCAGACUGUGUUGCUACAGGAUCUUUAGCUCCUUUGAGAAAAUAAAAACAUUCCUACUGUGGACUUCUUAGAACCCAGAUACUGUCAUUUGUGUGUUUCUUCCUAAGGCCAGGUAGAGAGGGCCAGAGAGAAGGCUCAGUGUCAAGAGCAUUGGCUGUUCUUGCAGAGGACCCAGUUCAGUUGCUAGCACCCACAUGCUGGCCUGCAACAUUUAUAUAGUUCCAGGGGAUCUGAC
ensembl:lncRNA